GAACGCUGGCGGCGUGCUUAACACAUGCAAGUCGAGCGGAAAGGCCCCUUCGGGGGUACUCGAGCGGCGAACGGGUGAGUAACACGUGAGUAACCUGCCCCUGACUCUGGGAUAAGCCUGGGAAACCGGGUCUAAUACCGGAUACGACCACUCCGGGCAUCCGGUGGUGGUGGAAAGAUUUUUUCGGUCGGGGAUGGGCUCGCGGCCUAUCAGCUUGUUGGUGGGGUGACGGCCUACCAAGGCGACGACGGGUAGCCGGCCUGAGAGGGCGACCGGCCACACUGGGAUUGAGACACGGCCCAGACUCCUACGGGAGGCAGCAGUGGGGAAUAUUGCGCAAUGGGCGGAAGCCUGACGCAGCGACGCCGCG
rnacentral:rRNA from 1 species